AAUAGCAAUUCCACGACAACACUAACGUCUCAACCCAGCUCCGACCCGAAUUUGCCAGCCCCGAUUAACCCUUAACCACGUCGACCUACGUCUAACAGCGAAACCCGACCCCAACCCGUUUCUUUUUCACCUUCGUCACGCAUCUCACGCAUCCGUAGGACGAGAAAAUGAUCCAAAAAUCUUUUGAACAAGCUAGGUGACACCCCCCAAUGGCUAAUUGCAUGAAUCUCUGCCACGAUGGUACUAUUUCGUACAUAUUUUGUAAAUUUUCGUUGGUUCUUGGGGAAAUUAUCCAUUUCCCCCAAUUUCUGUUGGCCAUUUUUUGAAAUCCGUUCCAAAAAAUCCAAAUUAGGGUACAAUCUGUUAUUAUCCUCAUCUUUUGAAUUUCGAAAUUCCCCCUGAAAAAUCCCUAAAAUACCCCAAUUCCGUCUUCUAUAUAAGAACCCAUUGGGUCACUAUUUUGGGGGAUUGGAAAUACUGGAUUUGGAAAAAACUAAGGAAGAGAGAAAAAGAACAAAAAUUCUUGGAGAAAAUUCGGUCUUUAGUAGAAAUUCUGUUCUUGUUUUGAAAGUUUAUCGACUAAAUUAGAGCUUCGAGUUGACGGUGAAGAAGUUUUUACGGUGGUCGUGAUCUCCAUACCAAUUCUUCGUCUCGAUUUGCUGCCCUUAAAGAGGUAAAUACACUCUGCUUUUCCUUUAAUUUGACCGCUUUCUUCUUCGUCUCUUUUUCUUCGUAGCUAAUGUAGUCGUAGUCGUAACCUUGUUUUGAUGGGAGUAGCUAAUUUGUCAUAGCUGCCUGAUAUGCAAUUUCUGCUAGUUUCGCCUCAGCUUUGAAAUCUGCCGCUUAAUCUUGACAUUGUUGAUGAAUUUGCGACGUAACACUCUCAUUUUGUUUACUGCCUGAGGUGAAUAGUUGGUUUCAUAGCUAAAGUUUCGUGCUUUGACUUUGUCUAGUAUCUAGGGCUGAUGGUGUCUUGUUCCUGGUUAGUAUUUGACGUUGUUUUGUUUGUCGUCAUUAUCUUGGUUCUGUCUCGUUUUCGCUUUGAAGUAGUAAAAAAUGGUAAUUUAACUCUUUCUUGUAUGCUCGGUGUUCUCUGUAGAAGGCCUCAAAGGCCAUAGGAUCUAUGUGCGUUAAAAAUGUGUAAUGGUUGCGUUGUAUUAGAUUCAUUGUUUGAUCUCCAUGUCGAGCUUUUUUUCCUUUACCGUUAAUUCACGUUUAAAAGUGUAGAAUAGCAUGAAAUCCAUGUUCUACCCUAAUGUUCAAUUGUAAACAUUUUAGGAUGUCUGCUUGGUUUAUUGGAAAGUAUUCUUGUUGAAAUAUCAUGAUUUCCCUUUUUUUUAAUCAUCGUAAGCUCGUUUACCAAAAUGCAGUUAGUCUUAGUUAGUCGAGUCUGAUAUGAGCAUAAAGAAAUUUUUUUUCUUUUCUUCUUUUGGGUUGCUAUUCGAUAAAGUAGUGAAAUAUUCUAGUGACAAGAUGGGUGUUUCUUCCAUAAUACCUUUGCAUGAGCUUUCCGAAAAUCUACCCAUCUGAUUGGAUUUUGCGGAUCUUUCCCCAAUUUCAGAUCUUGGCAGUAGUAUACUCCCGAAAUGUGGUUGUAAGAGUAGCUCGGAUAUGGUGGUUUUGUUACUAUAUCUAAAACGUUUGCUUCUGAGAGUUUGAUUGCUUAAGUUUGUUCCGGUCUUUCUCUUUUCUCUAUGUGAUGAUUUGAAUAGAAGAUGCAUGCUUAGAGUCGUUUGUCCUCCUUUCUUGAAGUUCACUGUAACUAGUCGAAAUUAGAUGUGAAUGGUAAUUCCCAUAACAUAGGAUUCACUAACUUAUAAACUAACUUGCUCUUUGGGUUUCUUGAGUUCUUAUCUGUUAACUUUCUAUCACCCUCGCUAAAUCUUUAGGUUGUCCGGUCAAAAUCCUCGCUUAAUUAAAAUAAUUUCCACAGCCUUAAAACGUAUUGAUCUAACUCCUUUUACUUGAAAUCAUGUGACUAUUCUCAUCCUCUCUGUAAACUAGAAUUUCUUUGAUUGUGCGCUUUCUCUAGCCAUUAUGAGUCGUAUUUCUUUCCGCAUUCUUGUGUUUUCUUCGAUUAUCCCGCAUCACAUGUUGCGGAUACAGACUGAACCUUUUAAUCACGUGGGGUUAGGAAGGGGAAAGUCUUAUUUAGUUAUUUCUUUUUAAGAUAACUGAUAUACAACAUUUGCAUCUUGCUAAAUUUACCAUGUGCAGCUUAUCUUUAUGUAAAUGAUGCCAUUCAUCUUGACUCGCAAGUUGUGACAUAUCUUUGCACAAAUAAAAAUUUUUCUAACGCUUAACAUUAUUUGAAUCCAUAUUUUGGGAGUAGUUUCUAGGAGAACAUGUUACAGUUAUUCAUAGGCUACUGCUGAAGUCCCUUUCUUGUUGCCCUCACUAUGUUCCUGCAGUAGUUGAUGACAUGCAUUUGGGUUUAUAAUCACUGCCUAAUACAUAGUAGGAGGCAGUACUUUCUUUUUUUUAGUAUUUGGUAUUUAAGUGGUACUUAAGAAGCAGAUUCGUGUUAAAAGGUUAAUCCAAGUCUACGAGGUUGUCUUUUAGUGCGUUACGUGGAGUAUCUUGUUUAUUGUAUUAUUAGACAUGUUACUUGUUGUUGCAUUUUUUUCCGCAUUUAUGCUUGAAUCUUUCAUUGUAUCAUUAAUUUCUUUAGCAUGUUAAUCCCUAAUUCGGAAUACUUAUUAAUCCCUUCAUUUUUCUUUCCUUCUCAUCUCUGCAUGUACUUGCUUCGGAGUCCAAACGAACUCCUCCUCUCUUUCAUGAACGGGCCAAUGAGGCCUCUCUUCUGAGUCAAGCCUCAAAGAAAGUCAAACGAAUUAGAUGGCGUACGGAUACGAGGAAUCAAAAGGAGAAGAAUGGGUUAAAAUCCCACGUUUGAAGUGGCUAUGAGACUUAAAAGUCUCAUUUGUUGUUUUAUUUAUUUACUUAUUGUUGUUUUUAUUUAUUUGUUUAUUUAUUCAUUCAUUUGGGCCACGUGGAGCGAGACCCGAGCCAAGCGCUCGAAAACUAGAUUAGAUUAGGACAGGUGAAAAUGGGUCGAAAACCUAAUUAGACUAGGACAGGUCUCGUUGAUUUGGGCCCAAUGGCCUAAAUCCUUUACUUUCUCCUCCCUUUCCCUUUUUAUGAGUUUAUUUGCUUGUUCGUUUUGUUUAGACUUAGUUAAAAUUCCUACUAAGUCGCCUAAAUUUACAAAAGUCUUUUCUAAAAAUCAGUCAAUUUUUAACAAAUCAAUCUUUUUGAAGUUAGUCAAAAGACGUUUGCAAACAGUUUGGAUAACCGCAAGUUAGCGGAUGUUUUAGGUGCUUAAUACCUUCAUAAAAUGUUAAUAGGAAUCGCUUGCUUAGAAUCUUCAAAAUUUAAACAAAUUUUCUAUUUUGGAUCGUUUAAAGUAUUUAUAAAGGUUUUUUAAUUCUUUUCAAUAUUAAGUGGCGACUCUUCUAAAAAGUUAAAAUUUCUCCUUAAAACACUGCUAACUGAUUGAGUUUACUAAGGUUCGAACUAAAUACUACUGUGACAUGAUGAGAGACUGAGAUUCCUGAGAUUAGUGAAUGGAAUUGGACUGAUACUGAGUUUUCCUGAGUCACAUGACUGAUUGAAUUCUACUAAACAUGGCUUGACUGAGAGUAUCGUAAAAAAUGACACAGGCUCUAGACACAACUAAAUUAUCGGGUACAGGUACCCCCAGGACUCGAUAGCAUGAAACUGACAAGACUUGACACUUCUUGAACACAUGACCAAUAUCAACAAUUCUAAUACAAUAAGUUGGAAAUUUCAUGAAGUAUAUGGUUAUCAUAAUCUUGUACAUGGAAGGAAUGCAUAUAAUCAAUGUCAUAAUUUCAUAUUCUAGCACCAUGAGCAUUUCAACAAACAUUUACAUUGCACAUCAAUAGCAUGGGAGUAAUUUGAACAUAAGGGUAAAACAUGAAUCCAUCACUUAAGUCACAAUUGAGCUAUAUUUUAUAAUUUUUAGUAUUCUAGGCAUUUUAUCAAAUACCUUACAUGCACCACUUAGGGCAUAGGUAUGAUGAUAAAUUAACACCUCAUAAACUACUCAAUUUAUGGAUUUAAACUCGUUUACUAACGUAAUUCCAUAAAAACACAUUGGGAUUCCAACUUGGGAACCAUACAACAACAAUCACAUAAACAUAAUCAACCCACAAUAUAAUAUUCAUAAUACAUGAUUUAAAACUUGAUUCUUGGGCUUCAUGGACGAAAGAAAUUCAUGAAUUAACACUAUGCAUACCUAGACAUCUAAAUUCUUGGAAAGAUUCUUGUAAUUGGCCUUGAUUUCUUGAGCUAGGGUUUUUGCCUCUUGAGAGAGAAGGAUUUUGUUCUUGAGAGAAAGUGGGAAAAAGUGAUGUAAUAGUGUUUUUAGGGCAUAAUUCCG
rnacentral:lncRNA from 1 species